AGUCGAACGCAACCUUCGGGUUGAGUGGCGGACGGGUGAGUAACGCGUGAGAAUCUGCCUUGGGGUCGGGGACAACCACUGGAAACGGUGGCUAAUACCGGAUAAGCCUUUGGGUAAAAGAUUUAUUGCCCCAAGAGGAGCUCGCGUCUGAUUAGCUAGUUGGUGAGGUAAAAGCUCACCAAGGCAGCGAUCAGUAGCUGGUCUGAGAGGACGAUCAGCCACACUGGGACUGAGACACGGNCCAGACUCCUACGGGAGGCAGCAGUGGGGAAUUUUCCGCAAUGGGCGAAAGCCUGACGGAGCAAGACCGCGUGAGGGAGGAAGGCUCUUGGGUUGUAAACCUCUUUUCUCAGGGAAGAAGCUCUGACGGUACCUGAGGAAUCAGCCUCGGCUAACUCCGUGCCAGCAGCCGCGGUAAUACGGGGGAGGCAAGCGUUAUCCGGAAUUAUUGGGCGUAAAGCGUCCGCAGGUGGCGAUUCAAGUCUGCUGUCAAAGCACGGGGCUUAACUCCGUUAAGGCAGUGGAAACUGAAUAGCUAGAGUGCCGUAGGGGUAGAGGGAAUUCCCGGUGUAAGCGGUGAAAUGCGUAGAGAUCGGGAAGAACAUCGGUGGCGAAAGCGCUCUACUGGACGGCAACUGACACUCAGGGACGAAAGCUAGGGGAGCGAAUGGGAUUAGAUACCCCAGUAGUCCUAGCUGUAAACGAUGGAUACUAGGUGUAGCUUUGUAUCGGACCCGAGCUGUG
rnacentral:rRNA from 1 species